UAAAGCGAAUAAGCUGAAGUAUUUAUUUAUUUUCUAUUGACUACGAGGAGCGGGGUUUAUUUAAUUGACGGAUUAGAACACCCCGAAGAGAACGGAUUAAUUUUUGUUAAUUAUCCGGCUUCAUGAGACGAGACUUAGCUUUUGUUUAAAUCCGAUAGCCUGGAUUAACAAUAGAAAUUCCCUGAUUAUUAUCUCAGAAUAAUAGUUCAUGCAUACGAGAUUCAUGCAUAGUUUAAUUACGCAUUCUCAUUUAAUUGAGAAUUUUCCCUCGAUUUAAAGUCUUACGUUAUUUUCUCGGAUUAAAGGUCGAGCGCAAGAAUAAGAGCUCGUCAAGGAGUCACUAAUCUGUAGCAAAGCUUUGCUAUCAGGUUGAGCAGCUGCCGAUGGUGAUGAAGUGACGAGCGGGAUUCUUUUGUCUUAUUAUGUAUUAAUGAACUCUAGGGUUACAUGUCUUCAUACAUGUAAUCAGAACCUUAUUCCGCUGCGUACUCAGAAGUUUUAUGUUAUUUUGGCUAAGUCAGAGUUAUCUGAACUUACUAGUUAUUUGAGUCUAUACGACUAAAACUCCGUUAUAUUAUAAUAAAUAUCCAUGUUGUUAACAA